GGGGGCGACCUGGCUUCGACGUGGGUCACAAAACCUAAGGGGCAUGCCGAGGCGCAGUUACCUCGUAAAUACAGCUGCAAACUUUAUAGUUGCCAACGACGACAACUACGCUCUAGCUGCGUAAAGCAGGCUAGACCUUUCACUGAUACUUGCUUGUGGGUUCAGGUUCGAAAGGUCAUUUCACACAAGAUCGUGUUGAAGCCCACCCGGGGCCGAUUCAUUAAACUCUAAUCGGGAUCGCUUGUAGUCUACCCUGCCCGUCGGGUAGCUGCCGGUUAAAUUUAAAGACACGGCUAAGCAUGUAGAACCGAAGGCGGAGUAUUUGCGGACGCGGGUUCGAUUCCCGCCGCCUCCACCA
rnacentral:tmRNA from 1 species